ACAUACGACCAUACCUACUGGAGAACUCGGGAUCCCGUCCGCUCUCCCAUAGAUAAGCCAGUGAGGGCCGGAUUAGUAGUUGGGUCGGUGACGACCAGCGAAUACCUGGUGUUGUAUGUC
rnacentral:rRNA from 1 species